rnacentral:rRNA from 1 species
CCAAGGAGUCUAACAUGCGCGCAAGUCGUUGGGUCGGACACGCUCCGCUAAACCCAUAGGCGCAAUGAAAGUGAAGGCCGCCGUUCGGGCGGCCGAGGGAGGACGGGGCCGGCCGGGCGCUCCGGUGCUCGGCGGUCCCCGCACCCCCGGGGCGUCUGAUCCCUCAUCGCGAGGGGAGGCGCACCCAGAGCGCACACGUUGGGACCCGAAAGAUGGUGAACUAUGCCUGGCCAGGACGAAGUCAGGGGAAACCCUGAUGGAGGUCCGUAGCGAUUCUGACGUGCAAAUCGAUCGUCGGAGCUGGGUAUAGGGGCGAAAGACUAAUCGAACCAUCUAGUAGCUGGUUCCCUCCGAAGUUUCCCUCAGGAUAGCUUGCGCUCGGAGGAGAGUCUCAUCCGGUAAAGCGAAUGAUUAGAGGCCUUGGGGCCGAAACGGCUUCAACCUAUUCUCAAACUUUAAAUGGGUGAGAACUCCGGCUUGCUCGACCGAUCGAAGCCGGAGACGGGGCCGUCCCUCGGGACGGACCCCCGGGAUCGGAGUGCAUAGUGGGCCACUUUUGGUAAGCAGAACUGGCGCUGUGGGAUGAACCAAACGACGGGUUAAGGCGCCCGAAUCGACGCUCAUGGGAAACCAUGAAAGGUGUUGGUUUGCUUAAGACAGCAGGACGGUGGCCAUGGAAGUCGGAAUCCGCUAAGGAGUGUGUAAUAACUCACCUGCCGAAGCAACUAGCCCUGAAAAUGGAUGGCGCUGAAGCGUCGUGCCUAUACCCGGCCGUCGCGGCAGGGCGGACCCGGCCUCGCGUCGGGUGCCGCUUGAUGCGGCGACGAGUAGGAGGGUCGCGGCGGCGCGCGCAGAAGGGUCUGGGCUCGAGCCUGCCUGGAGCCGCCGCCGGUGCAGAUCUUGGUGGUAGUAGCAAAUACUCCAGCGAGGCCCUGGAGGACUGAUGUGGAGAAGGGUUUCGUGUGAACAGCCGUUGCACACGAGUCAGUCGAUCCUAAGCCCUAGGAGAAAUCCGACGCCAACGGCGACGGGAGAAAUUUUGAAAGAGAAAGAAACCCGUUGAUCGGGCGAAAGGGAAUCCGGUUCCUAUUCCGGAACCCGGCAGCGGAACCGCUGUUUGUCGGGCCCUCACAAGGGGUUCGUCAGGGUAACCUAAAAGGGCCCGGAGACGCCGUCGGGAGCCCCGGAAAGAGUUUUCUUUUCUGCAUGAGCGUUCGAGUUCCCUGGAAUCCUCUCGCAGGGAGAUAGGGUUUGGAACGCGAAGAGCACCGCAGUUGCGGCGGUGCCCGGGAAUUCCCGACGGACCUUGAAAAUUCCGGGAGAGGGCCACGUGGAGGUGUCGCGCCGGCCUUCC